rnacentral:rRNA from 1 species
UACGAAGGGGGCUAGCGUUGCUCGGAAUUACUGGGCGUAAAGGGAGCGUAGGCGGACAUUUAAGUCAGAGGUGAAAUCCCGGAGCUUAACUUCGGAACUGCCUUUGAUACUGGGUGUCUUGAGUGUGAGAGAGGUAUGUGGAACUCCGAGUGUAGAGGUGAAAUUCGUAGAUAUUCGGAGGAACACCAGUGGCGAAGGCGGCUCACUGGCUCGACACUGACGCUGAGGUGCGAAAGCGUGGGGAGCAAACAGG